UGAGUCGGCCGGGUGGCCGCGGCCCGGGCUCGCCCGGGCUGAGGAAGGUCGGGGCUCCGCAGGGCAGGAUGCUGGCUAACGGCCAGUCGAGGCGACUCGCAGGAAAGUGCCACAGAGAACAGACCGCCGAUGGCCCCUCGGGGCACAGGUGAGGGUGAAACGGUGCGGUAAGAGCGCACCAGCACCCCGGGUGACCGGGGUGGCUCGGCAAACCCCAUCCGGAGCAAGGCCAAGCAGGAAGAGAGCGGCCCGCUCGCAGACACUUCCGGGUUGGCUGCACAGAUGGAUGGCCACACAGGAGGACCCCGGCAACGGACCUCUGGACAGAACCCCGCCUACAGGCCGACUCACCAC
rnacentral:RNase_P_RNA from 2 species